rnacentral:rRNA from 1 species
GACGAACGCUGGCGGCGUGCUUAACACAUGCAAGUCGAACGGAAAGGCCCUGCUUUUGUGGGGUGCUCGAGUGGCGAACGGGUGAGUAACACGUGAGUAACCUGCCCUUGACUUUGGGAUAACUUCAGGAAACUGGGGCUAAUACCGGAUAGGAGCUCCUGCUGCAUGGUGGGGGUUGGAAAGUUUCGGCGGUUGGGGAUGGACUCGCGGCUUAUCAGCUUGUUGGUGGGGUAGUGGCUUACCAAGGCUUUGACGGGUAGCCGGCCUGAGAGGGUGACCGGACGCUAUGGGAAGGAGACCCGGCCCAGGCGCGGACGAGGGGGAGGAGGGCGGAAGUGCGCGGUGGGGGGGGCAGGGGUGGCCAGCGUGGGGGUGUGGGGGUUGCCGGCGUUCGUGUUGGAAACCGCUUUCGCUUGUGGGUAAGCGUGAGUGUGGGAAAUGAAUAAAGAAGCAACGGCUAACUCCGUGCCGGCAGCGGCGGUAAUAUAAGAACAUCCACGUCUGUAC